GCCGGGCCCGGAGCAGAGAAGAGGGCCUCCCGGUGAAGAUGGACAGCCCGUAACGACUAACCCUCCCCACCGGACGGUCCCUGCAGCAUAGAUGGCCUGGAACAGCUCACCCUUCCUUCCCACCGAGGGGAGGUCAUGUUCCAGUGGUGCAACUGAACUAACAUACAGCAAACACAGCAGUGUGAAUAGGCCUCAAGGGAAGAAACAUUUGGAGCAGCUCCAUAGCAGGACCUAGCUGGAAUGUGUGACAUGCUUGCGGUGUUAUAGAUGUCUCCAUCUGUUCCGUCAAACACACUGUGCGGAUUCCAGGAAUAUGCCAGUAAAAUAUUGUAAAGAAAUUAAAGAGCUUAAUGAAUAAAUACUGUCAUUAAAUACACAAUAG